rnacentral:rRNA from 1 species
GAUGAACGCUGGCGGCGUGCCUAAUACAUGCAAGUCGAGCGAACGGACGAGAAGCUUGCUUCUCUGAUGUUAGCGGCGGACGGGUGAGUAACACGUGGAUAACCUACCUAUAAGACUGGGAUAACUUCGGGAAACCGGAGCUAAUACCGGAUAAUAUUUUGAACCGCAUGGUUCAAAAGUGAAAGACGGUCUUGCUGUCACUUAUAGAUGGAUCCGCGCUGCAUUAGCUAGUUGGUAAGGUAACGGCUUACCAAGGCAACGAUGCAUAGCCGACCUGAGAGGGUGAACGGCCACAUGGGAACUGAGACACGGUCCAGACUCUUACGGGAGGCAGCAGUAGGGAAUCUUCCGCAAUGGGCGAAAGCCUGACGGAGCAACGCCGCGUGAGUGAUGAAGGUCUUCGGAUCGUAAAACUCUGUUAUUAGGGAAGAACAUAUGUGUAAGUAACUGUGCACAUCUUGACGGUACCUAAUCAGAAAGCCACGGCUAACUACGUG